GAUGAACGCUGGCGGCGUGCUUAACACAUGCAAGUCGAACGGUGAAGCAGAGCUUGCUCUGUGGAUCAGUGGCGAACGGGUGAGUAACACGUGAGCAACCUGCCCCUGACUCUGGGAUAAGCGCUGGAAACGGCGUCUAAUACUGGAUAUGAGCUGCGACCGCAUGGUCAGCAGUUGGAAAGAUUUUUCGGUCUGGGAUGGGCUCACGGCCUAUCAGCUUGUUGGUGAGGUAAUGGCUCACCAAGGCGUCGACGGGUAGCCGGCCUGAGAGGGUGACCGGCCACACUGGGACUGAGACACGGCCCAGACUCCUACGGGAGGCAGCAGUGGGGAAUAUUGCACAAUGGGCGAAAGCCUGAUGCAGCAACGCCGCGUGAGGGAUGACGGCCUUCGGGUUGUAAACCUCUUUUAGCAGGGAAGAAGCGAAGGUGACGGUACCUGCAGAAAAAGCGCCGGCUAACUACGUGCCAGCAGCCGCGGUAAUACGUAGGGCGCAAGCGUUAUCCGGAAUUAUUUGGCGUAAAGAGCUCGUAGGCGGUUUGUCGCGUCUGCUGUGAAAUCCCGAGGCUCAACCUCGGGUCUGCAGUGGGUACGGGCAGACUAGAGUGCGGUAGGGGAGAUUGGAAUUCCUGGUGUAGCGGUGGAAUGCGCAGAUAUCAGGAGGAACACCGAUGGCGAAGGCAGAUCUCUGGGCCGUUACUGACGCUGAGGAGCGAAAGGGUGGGGAGCAAACAGGCUUAGAUACCCUGGUAGUCCACCCCGUAAACGUUGGGAACUAGUUGUGGGGUCCAUUCCACGGAUUCCGUGACGCAGCUAACGCAUUAAGUUCCCCGCCUGGGGAGUACGGCCGCAAGGCUAAAACUCAAAGGAAUUGACGGGGACCCGCACAAGCGGCGGAGCAUGCGGAUUAAUUCGAUGCAACGCGAAGAACCUUACCAAGGCUUGACAUAUACGAGAACGGGCCAGAAAUGGUCAACUCUUUGGACACUCGUAAACAGGUGGUGCAUGGUUGUCGUCAGCUCGUGUCGUGAGAUGUUGGGUUAAGUCCCGCAACGAGCGCAACCCUCGUUCUAUGUUGCCAGCACGUAAUGGUGGGAACUCAUGGGAUACUGCCGGGGUCAACUCGGAGGAAGGUGGGGAUGACGUCACAUCAUCAUGCCCCUUAUGUCUUGGGCUUCACGCAUGCUACAAUGGCCGGUACAAAGGGCUGCAAUACCGUGAGGUGGAGCGAAUCCCAAAAAGCCGGUCCCAGUUCGGAUUGAGGUCUGCAACUCGACCUCAUGAAGUCGGAGUCGCUAGUAAUCGCAGAUCAGCAACGCUGCGGUGAAUACGUUCCCGGGUCU
rnacentral:rRNA from 1 species